rnacentral:rRNA from 1 species
AACCCAGUGUGAUUCGUCACACUAUCAUUAACUGAAUCCAUAGGUUAAUGAGGCGAACCGGGGGAACUGAAACAUCUAAGUACCCCGAGGAAAAGAAAUCAACCGAGAUUCCCCCAGUAGCGGCGAGCGAACGGGGAGGAGCCCAGAGCCUGAAUCAGCAUGUGUGUUAGUGGAAGCGUCUGGAAAGGCGCGCGAUACAGGGUGAGAGCCCCGUACACAAAAGCGCACGUGCUGUGAGCUCGAUGAGUAGGGCGGGACACGUGGUAUCCUGUCUGAAUAUGGGGGGACCAUCCUCCAAGGCUAAAUACUCCUGACUGACCGAUAGUGAACCAGUACCGUGAGGGAAAGGCGAAAAGAACCCCGGCGAGGGGAGUGAAACAGAACCUGAAACCGUGUACGUACAAGCAGUGGGAGCCCCACCACUAAGCCAGUGGUGAACUCCACAUACGCAUCCUUUGCUGAGGAUACGGUUAACGGAGCGAGAGCGACGUUCAACCGCAAAAGAAGCAGAGGGGGCUUAGUGGUGGGGUGACUGCGUACCUUUUGUAUAAUGGGUCAGCGACUUAUAUUCUGUAGCAAG